GUCACAUUAGCUCAGUCGGCAGAGCGCAGGUCUCAUAAUCCAAGCUAGCAAUCCUGAGGUCGCGAGUUCAAGUUACGAAGUUGAAUACCUCGCAUGUGGCU